ACGCUUAUUAGCGUGACUUGCUUUUGAAGCAAAAUUCAUGCAUUUCCUGCUCUGUAAUAACUUUUGAACCUGUCAUUUUAUGUGAACAGAUCUGAAAAGGUUCCAAGUCUCAAAGGUGAUUUUGAAAAUUAGUACCUGGGUAGGGACCUUGUUUGGGAAAGUUUGUCCCAUGAGGUUAUGGAAAACAGACUCUGUGUGCUGGAGGGAACAUUGACAGAUCCCUCAACCUUGGAAAAUGCUCUGUCCGGCCUUGAACCGUUUAUCCACAGAGCGCUUAACAUUGCUCUUAUUACACUGUCAUCUGUUUGUGUGGGUUUGUUUUUUUUUUUUAUGUAGUUGUGGUACAUUUGUCUAGAAGGUGCUUAAUUCCUGCUAUUUUAAACCAGAGUUUUUACACCAGUGUGUUAACUUGGCUUGCAUAGAAAUAUCCCAGAUAAACCCUGCUGAACAUGAUUUUUGACCUGUGCCUCAGUGAUGUGCGUAGUUAGGAAAUGCUAAAGGUCAGUGUUCUGUAUGUUGGCUAAAUCUUGGACUGAACUUCAGGCUAGUUCUGUGCGUAGUGAAAUGCCUGACUUCGCAUGGAAAAAUUUGCCAUCAGUUUUCAGCAUGCCUAUCCAUGUGUUUUUGAACAGAAUCAUGGAAGAAGGUAUCAAGUAGAUUUUACUGCCAGCUGUAACCACUGCUUUGUGUUGCAAUAACUUCUUAAGUAAGUGAUUUGGAGAAUAAACUCUUGGGGAUAGAAAUGUGGUAAUUGGACAUUUCCUGGUGUGGAGUAAGUAAAUAAACAGUGUUGUAGUCAUGUUACAUGUAGCAAAGACAGAUGAGCAAUGGGUUGUCUCAAUCUUUUGCUGUACUUGAACCAGAAGGAUGUUGCUGAGCUUGUUUGUUAGGUGCUUGGAGCUACAUACCAGUCAAGCUGUAACAAAGUAAAAUGGCACAACGCCAUAAACGAUUGCAGCAUUUCUUUCAGUGCUUUGUUCUCUUGAACUACUGAGAAUAGUUACCUCUUGUGCCAGGCAGCUCGGUGGGAGCUGGUACCUGAACCCUGAGAUGGAUGUGCUGUUCAACCAGCAGAGUACAAAACCAGAUAACCAGAUUUCCAGUUCAUGGAGGUCAAACCAGAAAUGGAAAUGAAACUGGCUUAUGUAUCUGUUCAGCUUCUUACUUGCUCAUUUCUUGUUGAUGAUGCAGAGGUCCUCUUCAGUCAUGCCAAUUUUCAGUCCUUUAAUGAUUGUUAAGUGAGAUCUCUUGCAAAGGUAAAACACUUUAUAAAAAAUAACUCAUUUCAUACAUCUCAAGUUAUUCUUUAUUUGCAUGGAAAACAUUUUUCUCCUCGGUUCACAUUUAGAAAUACUCUGUCAGUCUCCUCAGCAACCACAUGUGAUGUCACAGGCUAAUGACUCAAGGUCGUCUCCACACAAGAUAGUCUUUCCAUGAACUCUGCGCUCCAGAGCUGUUUCUUCUGUUGAAUGCAAGAAUUCUCAGAGUUCUUAAGAUGACUCACAAAUAAGACAUUUGUGCUCUUCAAAUGAUGCAUAUUCCUCUAGCUGCAAAUGGGUGACCAUAUUUAUUAUUUGCUGCUGUGAAAAGCAAUAAUUACUGAAAUGAUGAAAUUCAAUUUAGCUUUCAUUAAGGCUAUUUUAGGAAGGGAAGAUAAGAAGACUAGCCACGGGGAAAACUAAAGACUGCUAAACAAAAGUGAAUUACAGAAGGAUCAUCUUAGACUUGGUUUAAAGAUCUGUGCAUUUAUUCCUUUCAUGCAAGAAAAUCCGUCUUUGCUGUAGCUGUAAAUUACGACAAAAGUAAAUAAGCAUUCUUUGAGAAUUUUAUGUCAGUUUAGAAAUUUCUAUUUAGGAAAGGAUGGAUGGGAAUAUUCUUCAUCUGAACAGCUUUCUUGUCAUACUAGAAUUUAAAAUGUUAAGAAACCAAACCAAAACAGAACACCCCC